UUGAGAUCCCAUUCACAUCAGCUGUUCAAAGUAACCGGUCCCGGGACGCCGCUGAAGUCGAGGAAGGGUGCAAACUUUCAUCUUUAUUUCCACCGGAGCCCAUGUAGCCUUUUCCAGCGCGUAACAACUGUCAAGAUGAGCAAAAGGUAUUAUUCGUGGUUUGGACCAGUGGUUCUGUGCUUGUUGGUAGCAGUGGCACCGGCUGCAUCGCAAUGGAAAGGCUACGCUCCACGCAAUCUAUUUCCCUCCACUUCAGCCAUGGCGAGCACAUAGCAGACUUGUUGACCAACACUCAUGCAGAACACCACUGUGGCUGACUGAGAACCGUGCCGAUGCCCAUUCCCGUUCCCGCCGGAGCCCGUUCGCAGAUAAGCACUUUAGUGCCGAAUGUAACUGGUGCGGGCACCAGCACCGGCUCCGUUCUGGUUGGCCAGAAAACCAUAUGUGUGUUUCUCUAUGGCUAGUCUCCUCCACUCACAUUGCUGUAGGGAGGGAAAAUUGUAAAUUGUUUGGCACAAUUGUUUUUCUUUAAAAAAAAAUUCAAAAAAUCGUGAUCUCAAUAUUGACUGAAAUAAUCGUGAUAUUUAUUUCCCAUAAUCGGAGACAAUGGAUAGCCUGUCCAGCAUACACACACAUUUGAUUAUUUCCAAGGGCCCUGUAGUUAGUGUCACAACACUCACCAAUGUUACAUUGACCUCCUUUGAUGGUCAUUUCAGAAAAUCUUGGG